GUUUCGACCGUCUAGCGGUCUUUAUCAAGAUCAUGAUAAAGAUUAUGAUAAAGACCGCUAGACGGUCG